rnacentral:rRNA from 1 species
AACGAACGCUGGCGGCAUGCCUAACACAUGCAAGUCGAACGAGACCUUCGGGUCUAGUGGCGCACGGGUGCGUAACGCGUGGGAACCUGCCCUUAGGUUCGGAAUAACUCCCCGAAAGGGGUGCUAAUACCGGAUAAUGUCUUCGGACCAAAGAUUUAUCGCCUUUGGAUGGGCCCGCGUUGGAUUAGCUAGUUGGUAGGGUAAAAGCCUACCAAGGCGACGAUCCAUAGUUGGUCUGAGAGGAUGAUCAGCCACACUGGGACUGAGACACGGCCCAGACUCCUACGGGAGGCAGCAGUGGGGAAUAUUGGACAAUGGGCGAAAGCCUGAUCCAGCAAUGCCGCGUGAGUGAUGAAGGCCUUAGGGUUGUAAAGCUCUUUUACCCGGGAUGAUAAUGACAGUACCGGGAGAAUAAGCUCCGGCUAACUCCGUG